rnacentral:lncRNA from 1 species
GAAAAUGAUCUUAUUUUGUAAUAUAAAAUCUUUUCAAGGAAUUAUGGAAAACAAAUUAAGUACCAUACUGCAUUGAACUAAAACUAGUUUAUGAAAAGGAUACGUGAUUUGCGCAGAAACUAGUUUAUGAAAGGUGUCAACAGAUAAAGCAUGCUCAUAUCAAUGUAAUCUAAUUGGAAUAGAAAUAAACAAGGUAUGAUUGCAAGCAAAGAAGCAGUAUCCAAAAUUACUAGCAGAGGUAGUUAAUGUUCAAAAAAGAACAGUUUGAUGAGUUCUUUUUUUUCUUUUUCACAUUUUAAGCUUCUUUCUUUUCUUUCAGAACAAUUUCAUAAUUUAUAAGAGAAAUUUGCCUUCCACAGAAUUUUAAGCAGACCAGUAGCAAAGUCUUCAAACUCGUGGGGAUAUGUAGCCCAAGUGCUGUGCGACAAAGCACCACAAAAGGAAAAAGCAAAAACAACAUACAGUGGCCGAAAAACACAAAUAACCACACAAUGAAUGACAACAGGCUCUACUAAAUUUAACUUGCAAAAAUAUGAACUUCAAUUAAAUUCUUUGCUUUUAAGAGAUUAGUGUGUCGUUAAACUAGUUAUGAAGCUUGCUAAGGAAUGUGAUUUUGAGAUUAAGGUUAACAGUUCAGUAAUUAUUGAUGCUGAGAAAGCUAAAGUCGCCAUGUUGACAACAAAAAAGUUUGCAGAAGCUUUAAUCAUUCUUAGUUUCGUGCCUAUAAAUUUCGUAUUUAAUAAGGUGCCUUAAAAAUUUUGCAUUGAUUAUAUAUAAUAAUAUUAUAAUUUUCCUCAAAAUAUAUACAAAUAAUAUUAUUUGUGCAUGUUAUUUGAUGAACAAUGCAAAACAGAUUUGUAACAGAUGGAUCAUAAUUUAGCAGGGAGGAAAAACAAUUGCAGAUCCAAGUGCAAGUAUCACAAAAUUUACAUUAAAAAAACAGAUAUUUUGAAUUGAAACUUCAAGCCGCCAAAAUACCAAAUCAAAUUUCAAAUUAAUGCAAUAUCUAAACAGAAAAAAAACCCAUCACUAAUUUAACCCAGAUCUCGAAAAACACCAAUAAUUUAAAAAUGAAAUCAACAAAACCAAGAAUUAAUAAAGACAUGGAAGAAGCUAGUUCACCUUAAAAACACCUUGGGGUGUUUGAGAAAUGCUUUCUCCGUCUAAUAUAAAAUAAAAAGAAAGAUCAAAGCAGUUUCAACACAAAAAUAAGACAGAUAAAAGGCAGAGAAAGAGGAAUGUGGACAAUGCAAUAUAUUGAAUAGAAAAGCAGACAAUGCAAAAAGUAAGGGCAAAGAUAGGUAAUAUAUUGAAAGAGAAGUAAACAAGUAACAGAGUACUAUUACUACUUCCCCCUUUCCCUUUUCCCAUUUCUUUUACUACUAUUUUAUUACUAUAUUUUCAAUUUUUCUCUCUUCUACAAUAUUGAAAAAACAAAAAUAAAAAUUUUAAAGCCCUCAUCGUCGGAAACAAAUAGGAAAAUUCUUAGAAUAUUUAUCUUCACCGGGACAAAAAAAACACAAUCUGGGUUUACUACUUGUGAAAGUCAAUACAAAUAAAGGAGGAGGAUAAAAACACAAUCUGGGUUACGUUUCUUUUCUUCUCAUCCUUCAUAUAUUGUCCAUAUUUAAAAGAGAGCAAAAUAUUAUCACCACCUAAUCCUACCCCCAGACAUCAAAUAUGCUAUUCAAAGUUUCUUAUGUCACUGCAAUUAAUUAUAUAUAGAAAGUAUGUCAAAUGAAAUCUUCGGAAAUGAUUAAUUAUAAAUUAAGAAUUGGAAAUUAGAGACAUCAUCGAGUUCAUAAUUACGUCCAAUGAAAAUAAAGUUAACUUAACCCAUAUUUAGUGAGAGCGAAAGUGAUUCAAAAUCAGUAAAAGCUAAAAUCCAAAUCCAAAUACCUUUUGGGGCCAUUGCUUGCUGCUUCCUCAAUCCCUUCUAAGUUCUAAACAAUAAAUGAAUUGCAGACAAAAAUAGUUUAGAAAUAUUGUUUUUAAAGAAACAAUUGAAAGAAGAGAGAAAUGAGAAGGACCCGUCAAUAGAGAAGCUAAUGAUACCUACAGCCAUCCAUACAAGGUGCUCAGGGCCAAGGUUAGUGAACUAUAAUCAUACCAUCACAAUAUAAGCAACCAACUAACCUUACUCAGUACAUCAGAGAGUUUUUUCAUCUUGGCCUCCAUCAAUGCAAUAUGUUUCAGACCGUUAAGGAUUUCACAGGCAAUUUGCUUAACUGCAAAACGAUAUAGUAAGUAUACACAUUUGCAUAAAAAGCUUCACAAAAUUAUGGCAAUCAAAACAUACCUGAAUACAAAAGUAAGCUCUCAAACUCACCGUGUCGUCCGAGAUAGAGCACUGGUACCCUUUCCACCAGUUAGACCCACGAAAAAGGUCAUAAAUCAUCAGAGUAACCUCUUGAAAACAAAUGAUAUCAGGGGAAUGAAUUUGAAUACAGAUUUCACAGUUGGAUUUGUUGUAAAGGUUCAAAAAAGUGCAAGCUUUACAAGCCCAUUUAGACGGCGAAGACGGUGACGGUGACGGAGGUGAGAGACAGACUUUGCAAGCGGCGGUUUGGGAUGGAGAGUUGAGGAAAGUGCAUUUGGUGCAAGACCAAGACUAAGAACAAGAAAACCCAAAGAUUAAAUACGCAAAAUAAAGAAAUCGAACCUUGAAUACAGAUAGUAAUAAAAACAGAAACCAAAUGCCACCUUCUUCGUCUUCUCUGUGUGGGUUAUGUGAAGACGAUUUCACUUCAUUCAACGGGCCUUCAACAAAUUACAAACAAAAAAUAAACAAAAACAAGGAAACCCAAACUUUUUAUAUGCAGAAUAAAGAAAUCGAACCUUAAAAGUCGAAUUCACCAAAAACCAGAAUCGAAUGCCACCUUCUUCGUCUUCUCUGUGUGGGCUAUGUAAGUUUGCAAGAAACCCAAACACUGAACCUUUUCCUUGUAAGUAAAAAAAGCAACCGAGGAAUCGGGGGUAAGAAAUCGACAAAGCAGUGAUCUCUCUAGCUCUGACUGAUAAUUAGGGAUUUCUAUAGAUAGGGCAUUUGGGGCUGGGAGCGGGGAAUCAGGAGAAAAAAACCGAUUUAUGUUUAAAAUGACGCCGAUUUCUAUUUCAACAAUUGUGGCGUUUACAGAAAAACGCCACUAAUUUUACCCUGUUUUGUUAAAUUUUUAAUGUAUUUUUGCGGCGUUUAAUAUUUAAUUCAUCAAUCAAACGAUGCUGUUUUAUUAAAUUCUUAAUAUAUUUUUUGCGGCGUUUGUUUACAAAACGCCAUUAAUAUUUAAUUCUUUAAUGAAACAGCGCCGUUUGGUUAAAUUUUAAAUGUAUUUUUUGCAGCGUUUUUUACCAAACGCCGCUAAUGAUUUCACUUUUAAAUAUAUGUCUCUGAAAUAAUAUUAUAUAUUUAUAAAUUUUUAAUUUUUUAAUAGAUUUAUGAAUUUCAUACAUUCUUGUAGUCAUUAUUUUUAAUUGAUGCAUCAUUAUUAAUAUUAUUUAAAUAAUAUUAUUUAAAAUUUUGAUAAGAUUUAAGACAUUACUUUUAAUUGUUUAAAUUUUAUAACUUUUAUAAAUCUUUUACAAUUAUAUAAUAUAUCAAAUAUCCAUAUCAAAAAUAUAUCCAUAUCAAUUAUAUAAAUCUUUUAAAACAAUAAUUACCUAAAUAUCCAUAUCAAAUAUAUCAAAUGGUUGAGAUUAAAUAUUUUUAAAUAUAAAAGCAUUAAUUAAUAGUAUAAAAUUAUAUUAUUUAACAAAUCUCAAAUAAACCUUAAACCCUAAAUUAGCCAUUCAAUAUACAUAAAGUCUAUCUAUUAUAUAUCUCUUAAAUAAUAUAAACUCUACUCAUAAUUUUAAUAUAUUAAAUUUAUUAUUAUCUCUUUUACAAUUAUAUACGAACAUAUUUAAUAUAUAAAUUAAAAAAACUAAUUAAUCUAAACCCUAACCCGACCCUUAAAUCCUUAAAUCCUAAACCCUAAAUCCCUAACUAUUAACCCCUAACCCCUAACUCCUAACCCCUAAACCUUAAAUCCCAACCCUUAAACCAUAAUCCCUAAUCCAUAAUCCCUAAAUCCAUAUGUAAUUAUUUGAUCACGGCGGGGGCAAGGCAAAACACGCAAAAAACUGAACUGGAUAAAAAAAUUGAACCGAGCACUAAAAAUACUGAACCGAGAUGGGAUAAGACAGGGAUAUCCUUGGAUAUAGCUUAUAUCGAUUUUGAAGAACCAAAUCUUCACACAAUUUUGAAGAACCAAAUUAAUAUUAUCUCUUUUACAAUUAUAUAAGAAAACAAUUAAUAUAUAAAUUAGAAAAUACUAGUUAAUCUAAACCCUAAACCAUAAACCCUUAACACAUAACCUCUAAACCUUAAACCCCAGCCUUUAAACCAUAAACCAUAACCCCUAAACCCAUAAUCCAUAAACCUUAAAAUGGUAACAACUAAAUCUUAAACUCUAAACCAUAUACCCUAAACCAAAAAACCUAAACUAUAGUGAUAAUUAAUACAAUAUUUUAAAAUUAAUACAAUCUAUUUUACGAUUAUAUAAGAAAUUAUUUAAUAUAUAAAUUAAAAAAAUCAGUAAUGUAUCUAAAAAACUUUAAAAUUAUUUUAAAUAAUAGUAUUUAAAUUUUUCUAUUUUUAACAAAUAUUUUAAAUUAUUUUAAAUCCCUGAGCAUUAGCGGCGCUUACUCAAAAACGCCGCUAAAGGCCUGAGCAUUAGCGGCGCUUUAUCAAAAAUGCCGCUAAAGGCAUGAGCAUUAGUGGCGCUUCCUCAAAAACGCCGCUAAAGGCCUGAGCAUUAGCAACGCUUCCUCAUAAACGCCGCUAAAGGCCUGAGCAUUAGCGGCGCUUCCUCAAAAACACCGUUAAAGCCCCCGAAAACUCAGAAAACGGCAUCGUUGGGCUUAAAUUUUUUGCGGCGCUUUGUGGAAAAUGCCGCUAAUGCUUAUUUCUAGCGGCGUUUUUAAUAAAGCGCCGCUAAUGCUAGACCUUUAGCGGCGUUUUCCAUAAAGCGCCGCUAAUGUUCGAUCUUUAGCGGCGUUUUUUAUCCAAACGCCGCUAAAAACGCAGCUAAAAGCCUAUUUUGGUGUAGUGCGAUCAUACCUUCACUUGAUAAUCCCCAAUAAGAGGAUUAGUUCCUCAUAGAAUCAAUAAACAUCAUAAACUUGAUACUGGAUAUAUGCAUAAAGAAUAAAACAAGAGUAGAGUUUAGAGAAUCUUGUUUCUAUUUGAUAUAUGAAGUGCUGAAAUCCUCAAACCUAGGUCAGCUAACGCUCUAGUAUUUAACUUUUGAUUGAGCGGACUGAAACACCCCUGGCUCAUAGGUGUUUCUCGUAUAGGACCGAUGUAGAGAAACCUUAGUGCUUGUGUUGUUACAUAGAAAAUAGUAUGCUCAGGUUUAGGGUAGCUUUAAGGGUGUGUCGUGACAUCCAAUGACUGUGUUGCAACACCAAAGGUAGUCUUGAGAUUCUUGCAUUCAGCUCCCUAUGUUGUGACAUUGAACUUCCCAUGUUGCAACACAACGAUUAGUACUGAGUUUGUACGCCUUCUGAUGGUCUCUUGCACACUCACUAAGUGUAUUAACUCACCUUUAGGCCUCAUUCGACCCCUAAGGUCAAUAAAAUACUCCAAAUACACUUUUUAUUGGAUUUAAACUAAACUAUACAAACUUACCUAAAACAUAAUGAAAAUGCUUAAAUUCAAGCUCCUCAAGUGUGAAAACUAGUUUAAUCUACUACACCAAGUUACGACAGAUUAGACACUAAGGCUAACUUAACUCGAGGAUUAAUUUCAAGACUUUGCUUUAACAUAAAUAGAGUCUUUUUAAGUUAUUCAAUUCAUUUCUAGACUUUCAUUAAAAUUUGGUUACAAAUAGGGACCAUUCGGGGCAUAUUCGGGUCAAAACAAGGUAAAUAGGGUCAAUGUCGCGACACUGAAAAUAGGUGUCGUGACAUUGACUGAUGUCGCGACACUAAUAUUUUGAUAUCCUAACAUCAAAAACAAUUUACUCUAUUGACUCCAAUGUCAUGACACUGACUUGUGGUGUUGCGUCGACGACAGAUUGCCCAAAACAUAACUUAAACUCCUAGAACUAAAUUAAAAUUAUCUUCAAACUUUUUAUAACAUUUAUAAAACACUUUUAGGACUCAAAAUAUAUCAAAUUAUCAUUCAAAAAUCUCAUAUAACACAUGAGUAUAUCCGUCUAAGGAAGAUUAUCCCAAAUUACAUUAUGAUAUUAGGCAUAUAUGACAUAGUUUUGAAACUACUUAGUUACUUUACAACAAAAAUUCAUAUUUUUCUAAUCCUAUGUACAUUAUACUCUAUUACCACUUCAAAAAAUGCAUUCAAGACGAUCUUUACCUAUGUAUUCAAAAUAACACGUUAACCUUGUGAAAGCUUAGUAGUACUUAGAAUUCUAACUUACCUUUUUAUUCAAUAUAGUAUAUCAGUAUAUAAGUACUUAAAUAAUAAAUUGUCACACCCAAUUUUCUUUAAAUUCGAAAAAUUAGGAAUAAUUAGGGGUUAAAUUGAAAGAAAUUGUAAGUUGGCGGUUUCUACUAAAAAGUCAGCAACGCAUUAGUGGUUGAUUUGGACAUAACUAAGUUCCAAUUCUGGUUCGGUUGGAUGAGAAUCAACUUGUAACCUCCCAAACCCGACCUAGAAGUUAGGCUAGAUUGAGAAUGCUACAUUAGCCACUGAAAUGGCUAAGCUAACUUACGUUACUUUUGAAGACCUUAAGUAAACUCAUUUUAUAGAAAAACCGUAGUUGUACUUUUGUUUUAGUUUAAAACAUUCAUUUAUUAGGUCAACUAUACUUAAGAUUCAUUUUAUUAUUGAUAGUCUUGUUUUAGAAAAAAAACCAUUUUCUUGUCACUCUUCUUUGUAAAAACUCGAUGUUAAACUAAUGUAACAGAAAAAAAAACCAAUUUUCAAGUUGUUGACACCAUUUUUUUUGGGCUCUUACUCAAGUCAUUUUGGAAAUCUAGUUACCUUAUCGAUUUGGAUUUUUUUUUCAAUAACGAUGCCUUUGCAAUGUAGCGAAAAUUAGGAAACAAUGUCAAAUUUUACUUAAGCCCGAUAUCAUGCAUUUUCCGGUUAUUAUGCUUGAGUAAUCCAUGCAUGCAAAAAUCCACAAAUGAAAACUUACCACGCCACAAACUAGAAAUAAUUAAAAAUUUACAAACCAAAACCAAUAGAGACUGAUUAAUACUUUAUUAAAAAUAGUCCAAGGUUCAAGGUGAUUUUCCAUAUGCCAAGUCUGGUCCUAGUUUCGAGGUUUACCUGAAAAGUUAAACAUUAUGGAGGGUGAGCUUAUGAAAGCUUAGUGUGAGUCGAACAAUUAUUUAAACGAAAAUAAAUAUCAAAUACAGUGAAACAUGUUAGCAAUAACAAAAGAACACAAAACUAUCAUUGGAGUUUCAUAUCAUUACAUAACCAUUAUCAAAUUGAUGUCAAACGGUUUGUGAGCAUGGGUCAUCACUCAUUCGAGUAACAAUCAUUAACUUUGAUACCAUUCAAUACAACACAAUACAAUAUGUAGCAUAAAUCAAUAACAUUUGAGUAAGUCGUGAGCAUGAUGCCAUGCAAAAAUGUUCGUACCCAAACCAUCCGUUACACACCACGAGUUCCCCAAAACUCGUCUGACAAACUCUAACGAAUGCGAGCAAAGCUCGAUGUGGUAAAACCACCGAAUAACAACAAUGCAGUAAAGCUUCCGAAUAACGAAUAAUGCGAUAUAAUUUUUGAUCCCCUCGAUACUCCAAAUACAGUUCACUGACUACAAAUAAAUGUGGACUUAAUAUAUCACCGAUACUCCACGGAACUCUUUCGUCAACCACAAAAUAUCCCAUCCCAUCCCAAUGCACAUGCAAUAUGUUAUACAAUCUCAUACAUAGCCAUAAUUUAAUACUUUUCACAUUUAAUUAACAUGUUCAAUAUUCCCUCAAUAAUUGAAUACUUUUCGCGAAUGGAACCAAUGUUUCAACUUUCAAAUUACCAUUAAGAUGGUAUCAUUCAACAUUACACAAUUUCAAAUACUUUUACGAAUUUCCAAUGUGCAUGUAUAGCAACCUUUUCAAUAUAACAUAACAUAUUUUCCAUGCAAUUAUAUCAUGCAUAAGCUCAUAUUUCAAAAAAUCAUGCUAUAUAUACAACCAAUCUCAUACCAAAUAACACAAUCAUGAACCACAACGUCAAUCACAUAACCACACUGUCAAACUAGCAACUUUGCUAACACAUUAAUCUUUUAGGACUCGAAACGUACCUGGCUCGGCCACUUACAAAAUUAAUUAUUUGGCUAUUAAUUCAAUCCAAUCAGCAAGCUAAAUCAUCAAAUAUAUCACAAAAAUCAACAUUACACAAUUUCAAAUACUUUUACGAAUUUCCAAUGUGCAUGUAUAGCAACCUUUUCAAUAUAACAUAACAUAUUUUCCAUGCAAUUAUAUCAUGCAUAAGCUCAUAUUUCAAAAAUCAUGCUAUAUAUACAACCAAUAUCAUACCAAAUAACACAAUCAUGAAUCACAACGUCAAUCACAUAACCAUACUAUCAAACUAGCAACUUUGCUAACACAUUAAUCUUUUCGGACUCGAAACGUACCUGGCUCGGCCACUUACAAAAUUAAUUAUUUGGCUAUUAAUUCAAUCCAAUCAGCAAGCUAAAUCAUCAAAUAUAUCACAAAAAUCAAUAUUUUUAAUUAAGUUUUUGAGCUUGGGACCCACACAUUAUUUUACGCUUUUUAUUAGCACAUUAGCGAACCUUCCGAUUUCCUUAAUAAACCUUAAAACGAGCCUAAGUUAAAAAUUAGUAUAAAUUCAAUUAAUUCACCUCUUAAAUAGCCCUCUAGACACCCAAUUAUUGUUUCAAACCAAUCAACACAAUUACAACUAUUUUAUGAAUCCAAACUUGUUAGAUUUCUCACACUGUUUUGAUAUGAAUCGUAUGCGCAACAGUCUUUCGGCUUUACAGUUGAUUUGGGGCAUACGGGUCAGCACCUAACACAUUUACAUACUGGAAAAUAAGUAGCCAAUAUUGAUUAAAAAUCCUUCAUUGAAUCAAUCCAUAACCUUUACCCAACAACCAUGUCGAAAUAACAAACUAGUUUACAUGUAAUCGCACUUACACUUCCCGAUUUGUGAGAUCCGAAUGACCAAUUGAUCAAGAAAAUUUUUUAUUCCUAAUUUAUAUGUGAUUAAAGGCUGAUUAGGAUGUUUCAAGAACUCAAAUUAAUGCUGGAAAUAGAUGGGCAAGAAUUUAGAAACAAAACAACCCCCUUUCUUGCACCUAGGCGCGCCCACCACCACUAAUGGUAGCCAAAAUUGGGGCUGAUUUAAGAACAAUUUUGAGAUCCAUUUAAAAUCUGGAAAAAUAAAUUUAAAAUUAUCCCAAAUUUCAGAUCUGAAAAUUUAGGUUUUUAAUUGACAAGAUUAAUGAAGAAAUUGAAAGAAAACAAGAACUUACACAAGCUAGGUGAAAAGGGCAGUAAUGGCACUUCUUAGAAACGAUAGGCAUCGAUCUUGGAGAGUCAAGAUUUUAGAUUUGGGGUUGAUUUAAUUAGAGAAAAAUGGAAGCAAUAUGAUGGAGGAGAUGAUGAAAAAUCUUGUGACCAAAGAAAAGAAAAUGAUGAUAAAACUAGGUAUUAUGGGCGAUGACAACAAUGGAGAAAGGAAAAAAAUUGAAGAUCAAGGAAGAGAGAAGAGGCAAGGAACGACAAAGGUGAGUAAAAAUAGAAUAAAAAGCUGAUUAUUUUUGUAUAAAAUUAACAUUUAUACCUAGAGUUACAAGGUCAUGGAUGAAACACAUGUUAAAAAUAAUGGAUUUUGUAAAAAUUAAUUAUUUUGCAUAAGAAAGGAUUUGAACUUGGGACCUCAAUUUAAUUUUCAUGAUUUUUCAUUUAUCAAUUAACCACUAGGAAAUUUCAUUAUUCUUAAAAUAAUUUUGCAAUAUUUAUUUUAAAAAUAAGGCGUGUCACAUACUAGGGUAUGAGGCAAAAUUUACAAAAUAAUAAAAAUGGUGCGGUAGAAAGGAUUUGAACUUAAGUUUCAAGGAAUGUUUCACUAACACUUAAAUAACAAACUAAUACCUCAUUUAUUUCCUAAAAACACAUAGAUAAUCUCAAAAUUUAGGGCAUGACCACUCUCCCUCGGUUUACAAAUCCAAUUCUACUAACUCCCGAUUUCUGGGAUGUUACAAUUCUACUGUCCUUAAAGAAAUUUAGUCUUCAAAAUUUUCCUAGUCACAGAAUCUGUUACCCAUUUCCUUCAAAUCGAGCCACCACGCUUUCGCUAUGCAACUCUGAUUUCCAAUACAAUUCCAAACAAUGCGUCUCUUUAAAUUCCCAACAUAUAUCUUAUAGAUCUAAGUAUGGAAACGUUACUAACAGAUUCCUCUACCCUAAUUCUCAAUUUUAACUGAAAAUCUACUGGAUGAUGCUUACCACAAUAUCUACAAAUCGAAACCCUAGCUAAUCUAAUAGUUUCUUCAAUAAUAACUACUGCAACAUUUCAUUGAGGUCUGGCUCAUCUGGACCUUUUUAAAGGUUGCAUAUUUGGACCUAUGGUAGCAGACUAUUUCCUUUUAUGAACUUUAUUAAUUUCCUUUCUCUUACUCUCUAAGCAUUUACUCUCUUUCUCCAUCUUAGUUCUUUCUACCAUAAUCUUGAAAACCUUUUCUAAGACUCCCAACAUUGCUUGAGACAGUGCAUCAUCCCCAACCUCCUGGUUUUUGUCUUCAGAAGUAGGCGCAAUCACGAAGUCAUUCAUCUCAAGAUUAGGCAUAAUAUCUUGAGAAACAAAUGACUCAAUUUGGGUAGCUCAACACUAAGCCUCAUUAUUUCUCAUUCUGCGGUUGUUCAUUAUGUAUCCUACGAUCUUAAGUUUGAUCUACAGUUUUAGAAAAAAUAAUCACUAGCUAACUUUUGUCAGUUUUCAGUUUCCUACCUUACAAUUUCAAAGAAAAAUUAAAUACUAAAUAUUUCAGGUCUAUGUCUACAGUAAUACACCUCAAGUAUUUACCUAUAAUUUAACAGUAACUUUUCUAUGGCAAUCGGCAUCGGAGUCUCGGACUUGUUUUUCUUUGUAGAAUAUCAUUUUCAAAAUUCUCUAUGGCUUGGUUUUCCCAAAUUUCCCCUUUUUCAUGUAUGCAUGCAUGCAGAAUCGUUUUUUAAAAUCACAAAUUAGUCCGAUGUUUUGAACUUAGGAUCUGAUACCACUAAAUGUAACCUCUCAAACCCGACCUAUACGUUAUGGCUAGAUUGAGAAGGCUACAUUAGCCACCAAAAUGGUUAAGCUAACUUACAUUACUUUUGAAGACCUUAAAUAAACUCAUUUUAGAGAAAAACCGUAGUUGUACUUUUGUGUUAAUUUAAAACAUUCAUUUAUUAGGUCAACUGUACUUAAGAUUCAUUUUAUUGUUGAUAGUGUUGUUUUAGAAAAAAAAAACCGUUUGCUUGUCGCUCUUCGUUGUAAAAACUCAACGUUAAACUAAUGCAAUAGAAAAAAAACCAUUUUUCAAGUAAUUUUGGAAACCUAGCUCGGUGUAAGACCAUAGCUUGACUAUAGCAACAAAUGGAUUUCGCUAAGACAUUAAACAUGGGGUAAAAAUCUAUAAGACCAUAGCUCGACUAUGGAAACAUAUAGAGUCCACCAGGACAUUAAACAUGGGGUAUGACAUAUAAGACCGUAACUCGGCUAUGGCAGUAUAAGGAGUUUACCAAGACAGUAAACAUGGGAUAGCCCAUCGAUACAAUAGAAACGGGGUAACUGCUAGGGUGGUAAAUGUGGAAAGAUCACGCAAACGAUGAAAAAUACAAGAGUUGAUCAGCGAUAGCUAGCCAGCGGGGUUGAGAAUCUACUGAAAAAGGAAAAAAAAAGUAAUAAAAAUGGGAUAGGUCUGCUAAAACGGUAGGCAAGAGGCAAAUAGGGUAUAGGAGGUUAAUCCAAAUGGAAUCAGUUAUGGGAGUGAAGUACUGAUAAUGCCAUGUGUAUAGACAAAUGAAAGAGGAAUUAACCAAGGAUCGCAUAUAAAUAUUUGCCAUUAAGAACCACCGAAAACUACUCAAAGAAACUUUGUGUAACACCCCUAUCUCGUCUCCGUUGACAGAUUAGGGUUACAAAGUAUUACUGAUCAAAACAUAACAAUUUCUUUCAUAACAGAAACAAUUAAACAAUUUAAAUGCUAACUUAUAACAAUUGAAUAUAGUCAUAUAAAAUAAAUUUAUAGGCUUUAAAUCGAGCCUAUAGGGCCUUAACAAUAGUUUGGGAACAAUCUGGGAUCAAAUCGAAACAAAUCAAAAAUUUCAAAAAAAAUUGAAAAUUUUGAAAACAGGGGUCAGACUGUGUGAACAUUCAAAGUCUAGACACAUGGUUGUGUCCCAGCCCGUGUGUCCGCCCGUGUGGGUAUUCAAAAUAGGGCCACAUAGCUGUGUCGCAUGCCGUGCCACAAACUGACUUGAAACACACGGUCGUGUGGCAGGCCAUGUAAAACCUGCACUUAAAACAAAAAAUACACACGGCCGUGUGGGGUGACCAUGUGUGGCACACACUAUGUGGCAGCCCGUGUCCCAGGCCGUGUGUUCCAUUUUUGACCCCUACAUCAAGCCAAUUCAAGCAUCAUUUCUUUCACAACAAGACAUACCAUAACUAGCCUAUUUUACAUUGUUAAAAGCACAUUCAAAUCACUAAAUACAUGCAAAAUAUUCUUGCAUCCUAUGUCUAACCAAUAUGCCAUUAAAAGGCACCUCUAUUCACACACUCAUUCAAUUCAAGAACAAGGUUACAGUUAAGGAAGAAGCUUUGUCAUUAGUCAACCAUUCAUGCUUAAAACCACCAGUCUAAUUGACCAAAAUAUGGGCAUACUAAACAAGCAACCAUUUCAAAACAUCUUCAUCAAAUAUAUAUACCAUUUGGGAUCAAGUUGUUUAUAACCAACACAAGUACACUUUUAAAACCAAUCACAUUACUAGAUAUACCAAAAUAACUUAACAAUUUACAUAUCAACAACAAAACACCUAUAUACAUACCACAUCCCAAAAUGAAAAACAAAAGCUACCGAGAUGGAUGGAUAGUGUGAGCUUCAAAUCGAUUCGUCCGGUCAGUUCACAAAAUGAUAACAACAAAAUAACGACAAACGAACACGUAAGCUUAAGAAGCUUAAUAAGUUCAUAGUUUAAACAUCAUUUAAACUUACCUUAACCAAGUUAAAUAAACAAGAAGUUAAUUUCUAUCUCCUAAUAACCAAAUACAAGUUCACAACUUAUUAGUAUUUAUUCAUAUAUAACAUAACAAUAGCUUUCCAAUAAUCAAUCAAUUCCAUCAAUCAAGUUAUCUCAAUGUAACCAUCCAUCCACACACAUAUAUAUAAUAUAAGAAUUUCAUUCCAAUAUUCAUAACUUAAUAACGUCAUAAAUAUGAAAUAGUAUUAAGUAAGUAAUUAAACUAUAAAUCAAUAAACACUUAUCCAAAUGAACUAUAGUAACUUCACUUGGAUACUCGAGUAACUACACCACACCAAAGGCAUCACAAAUGUGUAACAGAGGUACCGAAGUGCAAAUAGAAGCACGAUUGUGCAAUCAGAGGUACCAUAGUGCAAAUAGAGACACUGAAGUGUAAAUAGAGGCACUGAAGUGCGAACAGAGUCUCCGAAGUGCAAUCCCGUACAAGUGCGCAUACUAACCCUAUUAACAUGCCAAUUGUAUUCUAGUAGUUUACUACGUUCAAACGGGGAAAUUAACUGAAUUCAUCACAAUAACACAUUAGAGGCACUUCCAUAAUAUUCACACUUAUUCUACAAAUCUAGGGUGUUUAUUUUGAGAUUUCAUUAUUAUGAUUACAACCAUUUCUCAACAAAUACAAAAUCCAUUCAUACUUAUAAAAUAUUUAACUAAUUCAUAACAACAUCAAUUUAAAUGGAACAAAGAUUAAUUAAUUUAUAUUAUGAACUUACCUACAAUCCGCUACUAGUUUCUUCGUAGGGAUUACUCUGUAAUUUUUCAUUUUCCUCAGUUAUUAUCUUUUUGACUCGGUUCUUGAUCUAUAUAGUAAUUAAAUUCACAUACGCUAUCAAAAUAUAUCUAUGCAUAUGACUCUUAAGUUUUCAUUAUUAACACAUUUUCCUUGAACUUUUACAUUUCUCACAAUUUAGUCCAUAAACCAGAAAUUCCAAAUUUAACAAAAUUUUACAAUUUUCAAUGCUAGAUGAAUUUCUUUCUAAACUAGAAUAGUCCCUAAUUAUUCACAAUUCAUAAGAUUUCUAUGUAAACUUUAAUAUUUUAUCAAUUUAAUCAUUUAACUAAAAACUAACAAAAAUCACUUUAUAAAAUAAUCUUAAUCAACAAUUGAGACUAAAAAUUCAUUAUUUAAUAUCAAGAAUAAAUAAGAGUCAUCAAUGGAAAAAUCCAAAAUCCUUAACAGUUUCAAAAACUAAGCAACGAGUUAGUUGGACCUAGUUGCAACGAUCUCAAAAACAUAAAAAUUAUAAGAAACAGGUUUGAAAAUCAUACCAUGCAAGCAUAAGAGGGAAGACCAAAGCUUGAAGGAUCCUUUCCAUGAAGGUUUCAAUUUUCAAGUAGAUAAAUAAAGAUGAUAAUCGUUUGUAAUCAUUUUGCUAUUUUAUUAUAUCUUUUAUCAUUAUAAUUAUUAAAAUUUUAAUGUAUAAAAGUAUAAAACUCACCUAAUAUCUGUCCCAUAUAUAUAUAAUGGGUGUAUUUACCAUUUAAAUACUUCAUUUUAUGAUAGUUAAUCCAUUUGAUCUUUAUCAUUAGAUAGCGAUUAAAUUUUACAUUUUCUACAAAUUAGUCCUUUUGUUUUAAUUAACUAAGUAAACUAUAAAAUCAACUAACCAAAUCUUAAAAUGUUAGUCAUAUAACCCUAAAAAUAUUAAAUACCUAUAAAUUAGAAACUCAUUAGCUAGAAUAGUGAUCCUGAAACCACUGUUUCUGACACCACUGAAAAAUUGGAUAUUACACUUUGCAUGUUAGAGGAAGACCUUAGAUGUUUAACGAGAGAUUUACUCAUGGUAUAAGGUGAUCGAUCGUCAAAUGAAGUAAUUAAUUUGGGUCAAUUUUGCACUUAAAGAGCUUGUUUUUUAAGCAAUUUAGGAUUUAACUUUACAUUUU